rfam:Bacteroides thetaiotaomicron VPI-5482, complete genome.
UCCGUAGUGAUUCGGCAUCUAAAGGAAGUCUUAGGCAAAGCACUGACCUGACGUACAGAAACUUGAUACUAAGGCAUAUGAGUGUGGGUAAGUCUGCCAAACAAGAUAAAGCCCUAUAGCUAUAUGGAACACUCGGUGUAAAUCAAGCAGGUAUAAGUGUGAAAGAUUAUAUU